GACGAACGCUGGCGGCGUGCUUAACACAUGCAAGUCGAACGGAAAGGCCCUGCUUUUGUGGGGUGCUCGAGUGGCGAACGGGUGAGUAACACGUGAGUAACCUGCCCUUGACUUUGGGAUAACUUCAGGAAACUGGGGCUAAUACCGGAUAGGAGCUCCUGCUGCAUGGUGGGGGUUGGAAAGUUUCGGCGGUUGGGGAUGGACUCGCGGCUUAUCAGCUUGUUGGUGGGGUAGUGGCUUACCAAGGCUUUGACGGGUAGCCGGCCUGAGAGGGUGACCGGCCACAUUGGGACUGAGAUACGGACCAGACGCCUACGGGAGGCAGCAGUGGGGAAUAUGGCACAAUGGGCGGAAGCCUGAUGCAGCAACGCCGCGUGCGGGAUGACGGCCUUCGGGUUGUAAACCGCUUUCGCCUGUGACGAAGCGUGAGUGACGGUAAUGGGUAAAGAAGCACCGGCUAACUACGUG
rnacentral:rRNA from 1 species